UACGGGGGGGGGUAAGCGUUGUUCGGAAUUACCGGGCGUAAAGGGCUCGUAGGUGGCCAACUAAGUCAGACGUGAAAUCCCCUCGGCUUAACCGGGGAACUGCGCAUGAUACUGGAUGGCUUGAGUUUGGGAGAGGGAUGCGGAAUUCCAGGUGUAGCGGUGAAAUGCGUAGAUAUCUGGAGGAACACCGGUGGCGAAGGCGGCAUCCUGGACCAACACUGACACUGAGGAGCGAAAGCCAGGGGAGCAAACGGG
rnacentral:rRNA from 1 species